rnacentral:rRNA from 1 species
AACGAACGCUGGCAGCAGGCUUAACACAUGCAAGUCGAGCGCCCCGCAAGGGGAGCGGCAGACGGGUGAGUAACGCGUGGGAAUCUACCCAUCUCUACGGAAUAACGCAUGGAAACGUGUGCUAAUACCGUACACGUCCUUCGGGAAAAAGAUUUAUCGGAUAUGGAUGAGCCCGCGUUGGAUUAGCUAGUUGGUGGGGUAAAGGCCUACCAAGGCGACGAGCCAUAGCUGGUCUGAGAGGAUGAUCAGACACACUGGGACUGAGACACGGCCCAGACUCCUACGGGAGGCAGCAGUGGGGAAUAUUGGACAAUGGGCGCAAGCCUGAUCCAGCCAUGCCGCGUGAGUGAUGAAGGCCCUAGGGUUGUAAAGCUCUUUCACCGGUGAAGAUAAUGACGGUAACCGGAGAAGAAGCCCCGGCUAACUUCGUGCCAGCCGCCGCCGUAAUAC